rnacentral:rRNA from 1 species
GACGAACCGAGCGGACGUUAUUCGGAAUCACUGGGCUUAAAGGGCGCGUAGGCGGAUCAAAAAGUCAGGGGUGAAAUCCCACGGCUUAACCGUGGAAGUGCCUUUGAUACUGUUGAUCUCGAGGGAGGUAGGGGCGUGCGGAACUUCCGGUGGAGCGGUGAAAUGCGUAGAUAUCGGAAGGAACACCGGUGGCGAAAGCGGCGCGCUGGACCUCUUCUGACGCUGAGGCGCGAAAGCCAGGGGAGCAAACGGG